CAUAAAAGGAUAGGUCCCUGGACGUAGAGUCAGAAGACUUGAUUUCAAAUUCCACCUCAAUCACUAUCUGUAUAACCACUUAGUUUCCUUAUCUGAAAAAUAAGGGAGCUGGACUUGAUGGACUCAAAAGUCCCUUCUAAUUUUAAAUCUAUGAUCCUAUAUUCUUUAGUUCAAUCAGUAGCUAAAGGUUGCUUUAAUUAAAUACAAGUGCAGAUCAUAGGAUUUUAGGAUGUAGAGCCUGAAGUGAUUUCUAGUCUACCUCUCUACCUCCCAUUCCAGAAAUUAGAAAACUGAGGUCAAGAGAGGGAACUGAUCUGUCUGAAGCUACAAAAGUAAUAAUAACAUCAUUUCUACAGUAUAUUGCAAUCUCCCUAUGCCCUAUGUAUAGGUAAUAGUUGUUUCUUUUUUUCAAAUGUAGAAACAGCAACUCAAGGGUGUUAAGUGGCCUUGCCUGUGGUUAUUUGGCUAGUAAUAGAGCCAUGACAAGGCUCAGGUCUUCAGUAUUUAAAUUUAGUGUUCCUUCCCCCACACCAGAGUAGGAAGGUCUCUUCAAAAGCCUGGCAUUUGGAAGGAUGAUAUAGUCAGGCCAGUGCUAGUCACUGCCUUGUAGUGAAUUUAAUAUCCUGGACCUACAUGUGGAGUAAAAGGAAAAGAUUCUGGGAAUUCAGUUGGUAUCAUAGGAUCAUAGUUUCAUGAUACUCAUCUCUAUUAAAAGGUGUUUUUCUGAAGGGCUUGGAACUGUUCCCAUUCUCAUAGAGAUACCAAAUCUUCCAUUCUCAAAUAUCAGAAGAACAGAGUUUUUUUCCCUGUUCUAGAAGGAUCACAGGAUUAAAGAAUCGCAGACUUCAAAGGAAAUGACAGUUUGCCUAGUCUAGCCCAUAUGUAACCCAUAGUCCAACACCCCAGACUUUAGGCUUAGAUGAACUGAAUUCAAUUGGGGAGAAGUGGGAAGUGGUAGAAUUCUCCAAAAAUUGUAUCCUCUUGACUUCUUUUGUCCCUACCCAACAUUUCUUCUGGGAACCUGAGAAUAAAGCCCUAAUUUAGAUCUUGCCUCAUACGAGUAAAAGGACCCAACUCCUGUACAAUAAUAACUUAAGCUAAUAUCACUGUUGUCUUAUUUCAUUCCACAGACAACAUGCAGAAAAUAUAAAAGAUUCACAGAAUACACAACAAUCGAAAUACAUUCGGGCUUUCCAGUGAUCCUCAAUUGCCACCUCAGAGAAACAGAUAGAUCCCUACCCAUAUUUAUUUAUAGAUCUAGAACCUCUCUUGGGAGGAAAACUAUACUUGGAGUUGCUAAAGAGAUAACUGGCAGAGAGGUAACCUCUCAUGUUCCAGUAGAUAUUCAGACUUACAAUACUAAUGGAUUGAAGUUAAUUUCUGGAAGAGAAAUUAACUCAGAGGUGACUGUUUUCCCAUCAAACAUGUACCACUGAAAGAACUGACGGUACUACUGGAGGGCAAGGUUCAGUUUUUUUCUGACAAAAGUGUGAGCUAAUUGAAUAAUUCCUAAAGAUGAAACUUAAUCACUAUAUAGUUAGUUAGUUAGUAUCAAUCCCAGGAUUUGAACCCAGGACCUCGAACUCCAUUAUGUUUCAAUGGUAUUCCUUUUAGAAUCUAUGAUUGGAGCCUGGAAAGUCAGUUGAUCAUUCAGUCAACAAGUAUUUAUUCAUUAAGCACUUACUAUGUGUUAGACAAUAUGUUAAAUACUAAGAAAGACAAAAAGCAAGAGACUUAAAGAUCAGCUAAAUUAAACUUCUUCAUUUUACAGAUGGGAAAAUGGAAGCCCAAAGAGAUUGUGACUAGCCCAAGGUAACCAAACAGUAACAAUUCAUACUUAUUCUGUUUUUUAAGAUUAAGAUGUCCUUUCUUUUUUUAUUUUAAUAUUUUUUCCCUCAAUUACAUGAAAAGGCAAUUUUUAACUCUCUUUCUCUCCCUUACCUCUCCUCCAUCUCUGAGAUUACAAGGAAUGUGAUAUAGACUUUUACAUGUGUAUUAAUGUAAAACAUCUUUCCAUAUUAGUCAUUUUGUGAAAGAGAACUCAAACAAAAGUAAAGAAAUAAAUGAAAUAUGGUAUAUUUCAGACUCCAUCAGUUCUUUCUCUGGAGGCAGAUGACAUUUUUCAUCAUGAGUCCUUGAGGAUACCCUUUCUAACAACAAAAUGUGAGGUAGGAAUCCUUUGAUUCAAAGUCCAGGAAUCUUUUCACUCCACCAUACUUGGGUUCAACCACAAAGUAAAACAAACAAAAUAAUUAGGAGGUUCAAGGUGAAAAGAUUCAAAUUUGUCCCCCAGAUCUGCCAAUCCUAACUCAUAGUCAAGAUGUAUUCCACAGAAACAUGAGGUUAUCUGGUUUGACUUGGAAUCAAUGACCAUUAGAGCAGUGAACAACUCAGUAUCAGAGCUAGAAGAAAUCCCAAAUAUCAUUUUGUCUAACCUCUUGAUUUUAUUGAUGGGAAAGCUUAAGCCCUAGAGAGGGUCUCUAUAUCAAAGUGGUUUACUGACAGAGCUAGAAUUAAAACACAAUUAUCAUUCCUUCUUCCAAGUUCUUUUCAUAGUACCACAUUCAUCAGUCGGAGGCAAGAGGAGUGAGUACCUAGAAGAAACCUGGAAUGUUACCUAGUUUCCAGAUGCUCUAACAUUUCUAAAUUUUUUUAAAAAUGUCUCAUCCCUUGCUUUUUCUUUCCUGACCUAAGAAACCUGUGCUUCCGGGGGCCAAUUCUUGGCUGAUGUGCCUCCUUCUGGGGGCUUCAUUCCCAAUUGCCUCUGAACCCUACACUGGGCCAUUCAGCAAGCAGCCUGGUGGGCUCUGAAAAUGAUAGGCCCUCAAGGAUUAAUGACAGAGUAUAAAUCAAUUCGCUUCACGCCGGGAGAACAUGUUUGAUCUGACUGAGCUUUUGCAAAGAGGAGUAAUUAGUUGAUCUGGCAUUUUAAUCAUCAGAAAAUUACCAAAGUCAUUUUGCUUCUCAGAAGCACUGAAAACAGCAAUAAAGGUGGCACUUUUUUUUUCUUGUUACUGUUGGAGAGAUUUCAGUUCCAGGGAGCUCAGCAUGAGUGUGGAUCUCAAGCAUACCAACUCCAGCUGGCUCAUCUCUGGAGAAAAAUGACUCUUCCUACCCUCUCUUAGGAUCAUAAGGCUUUAAACCACUGUAGAAAAGACCUUCAAGUAUCAGAAAAAUGUUAGAGCUGAAAGAGACAUCAGAACACAAACUGUUAGAACAUAACUAUACAAUGUCAGGGCUGAAAGGAGCCCCUGAACAUAAAAUACUGGUGCUCUAAGAGACCUUAGAAAACAAUGUUAGAACUAGAAGAGACCAUGGAUCACAGACUAUUAGAACUUGGAAGGUAAGAACCAAAGCUGUUCUUAGGAUAUAGAAUAUUAGGAUGUGGAAUUUAAGAAUUAGAAGGGACCUUAAAACAAAGAUCGUGAAAUCAGGAAGGGACUUUAGACUCCAAUCAUCUCUUUUUGCAGAGGGGAAAAUGGGAGUACAGAUAAGGAAAAUGACUUGCCCAAGGUGUACUCUUCAAACUAUACUCUCCCCUUCCUAGAUUUUCUCCUAUGUAACUCCUUGUAUUUAUGAGCUCUGAAAAUUACUGAGAACUUAAGACCUCGUUUCCAGAAAAUCUGGACAUGCUUAAGCCAGUUAUGGAAGAUGGGAAUCCUUGAUAUCUAGGCCUACACCCCAAGGAAGAGUUAAGGGAGGGACUACAUUCAAUUCACAAAUAUAAUUCAUUCAUUCAUUAAUUCAACAAACAUUUAUUAAGGGACUGCCACGUGCAAAAGAAUUGAGAUAAUACAAAGAUAAAUGGGUUAGUCUGGAUGACCUGUAAGGUUCCCUCCAAUUCUAUAUGCCUGUUUUAAGUUCUCUACCAGCUCUUACCUUCUAUGAGUCUAGAACCAUGAUGGCAAACCUAUGACACAUGUGUCAGUGCUGACACACAUAGCCAUUUUUGAUAACAUGUGACCACAUGAGGGCUCAGCACACCUUGGGGCUCAGGAGCCACCUGGGGGGUGGGCUUCUCCAUGUGCUGGCCACGGGGGCAGGAGGGUAAGUGGUGGGCAGGGCAGACCAGGCAGCUGGGGAGCAUGGGGUUCCCAUGGGGGCAGGGAGAAGCAUAGGGCUCUGGCCCAUGUGCAAUGGAGGAGUACCUGGAACCAAUUAUCAGACACUUUUAGAACCCUGAAAAAUAUAGCAAUGGCUUUACUCACAAUUUUCCCUUUAUGUACUUUUGUGAGACCUUAUUUCUCAGCAUUAAAUAAUAUCAAAACCAACAAAAGAAACAGAUUAAGUUAGUAGCUCCUGCUUGGACUUGAAGUGUACAAAAUACCAACUUUCAGUUGAAGAUUUAGCCAAUGAAAUUCAGCAACAAAAAAGUCACUCAUCGGCAGGUUUGUUAAAGAAUUCCCCCUCCCUCUCACUUAUCUUAGUUCAAGGCACUCCACACAAAUUAAAUAAUAUCAAGACCAACAAAAGAAACCAACUGACAGAUGAAAAAAGAAGUCACUAAGCAGGUAAGUUAAAUAAUUAGUUUUCUUGUUUAUUAAAUACAGUUAUAUAAUACAAUUAUACAUUUUUGUUAUUUAAGCUAUAAAUAUCACAAAAUUAUGAUUUUUUCUCAAAGUGACACACCACCCUAGUUAUGCUUGUUUUUUUCAUGAAUUUUGACACACCAAGCUCAAAAGGUUGCCCAUCACUGGUCUAGAAGGUACAUAGAUCCCAGGAGAUUCUCUUCACACAAUCCUCAAUACUUACAGAUACUUUUAGAACAGAAACACUAUUUUCUUUUCUUUUUUUUUUAAACCCUUAUCUUCCAUCUUGAAGAGUGGUAAUGGGGGUCAAGUGACUUGUCCAGGGUCACACAGCUAGGAAGUGGCUGAGGUCACAUUUGAACCUAGGACCUCUCGUCUCUAGACUGGCUCUCAAUCCACUGAGCCACCCAGCUUCCCCCUAGAAACACUAUUUUCAAAAUGUAUUUGGACUCUCUUUUUCUCUGGUCCUGAACCACCAAUAGGGACAGUGGGCAAUGUGGGCAUUCACCUUUGGCGGUGACUAGGAUUGGCAGGAUCUCAUGUCUUCUGCACCCUAUCUGCUGUUGUUCUAGCUAGUUAAAUGAACUCCUAAAUCUUGCUGUGAAUCUCAUACCCCACUCCCCAAAGCACAACAAAAAAAGGUCAAUUCUGUCUGAAUACACCUAUUUCCCCUCUGUCCUCAGGCAGAGUUGAUCCAAAGUGACAUACAUACUUCUCUGUCUCAGUUGGCUCAAAAGUUUAGCAAGAAACCAGGCCAAGCUUUGCAGCUGGCUGACCGAAAGGGGAUUUUGGUCACUGGUUGGGAAACUGAUGAUUUCAAGUUUUGGAGGGGUACCAAGCAGGACCCUCAAAAGCAAAAUCAGUGCUACUCCUCAAGUCCUAAUCAUUUUCUGAAGACCUUGUUCAGGAUGGUCUCAUCCCAAUGAUUUCACAUGCCUCACUAUUUUUGUGCCUUACUCUUUCUUUAGUACAUAGGGAAGAUCACAGAAUCAAGAAAUCAUGUAAUCACAAAAUUUCAGACUAUCAUCUUAGACUAAUCAAAAGAUAUGAGAACUGUGAAAAUCCUAGAAUGAAAGAAUCAAAGAAUAUCAUAAUCAUAGAAUCACAGGACCAUAAAAUCAAAGAACUCCAUAAUUAUAUUCUCUUGGAAUCAUGACUGACCAAAUCUUUGAAUUUUGGAAACUUAGACUCAACGACUUGUCAAUUAAUAGAAUUACAGGCUGUUAGAAUAAUGGAAAUUUGAAAUAUUAGAGUCUUAGACUCAUAGUGUCAUAGGAUUUGGAACUGUAGGUUAAGACUCAAAGAACUGCCAAAUCUUGAAUUCAUAAUGUAUUAUAGUGCUUUAGAACUAGAAAAAAUUUGACUCAGUAUCUUAGACUCAUAGAGGGGACGUUAGAGGUUACUUAACCCAAUACCUCUCUAAAAUGUGAAUUCCCUCUAACAAAAUACACUGAUACUAAGGUUGUGGGGACUAAAUGUACUCCCGCUAGAGUGUGCAAAUGCUAUAUUUUCAGAACCCAGAUGGAUGAAGGGUCAAUUGCAGCAUUUCAGGUGCUGAGGUAGGGCAGUGUGGUACAGAUUAUCACUCAGGGUAGAUGUCUAGGUGGCAUUCACAUUCCUCUAUUUGGAUGAAUGCCCACUUGGCCUGGUUGUUAGCGUGGUGUUGGCUGGGAGACCCUAAGGUAGGCCAGAGGAUCCACCUUAAACUGUUACUCCAAGUAUUUCACACAUUGAACCCUCUCUUUCUGAGGCAAAGGAAAGUCAUUUCCUCUAAUCAAUCUCACAAUGCAUUUGCUAUUUUCCCCUCCAUAAUGACUCAUUUAACAGCAACAGAGCAAUUAGGCAGACCACGGAAUAUUGAUUUUUCUAAGUGAAAGAAAUGUUGAUAGAAAUAUCAUUUUGUUUCCAAGACUCAGAGGCUAAUAAUGCUAGCAGCCUCCUGCCUUCCCUGGGAUGGGAUGGACCCAUUUGACAGCUAAGCUUAGUCUUGAGGCUGGAUCUAUUAGCCUCUUACAUCAAACCUGAGACACAAAAGUACUCUGUGACCCUGAGGAAAUUUAUCUGUACUGGUGGCUCAGUGGACUGAGGGUCAGACCCAGAGAUGGGAGAUCCUGAGUUCAAAUCUGACCUCAGACACUUCCCAGCUGUGUGACCCUGGGCAAGACACUUAACCCCCAUUGCCUAGUCCUUACCACUCUUCUACCUUGGAACCAAUACAUAGAAUUAAUUACAAGAUGGAAGUUAAGGAUAAAAAAAAAAGAAAUAGUUAUAUUUGUGAUUCUGUGUAUGUGUGUGUGUAUGUGUUGGUAUAUAAGCUAUGAGGAUAUGUGUUACAUAAGUGAAAUGUGUUUUGUGACAUAAGCAGCAUAUGUGUGUCCUUCACACAGCUGCCAAAACAAUCCUCCUAAGGCACAAAUCUUGCUCAAAAACAAACAAACCACCCUACCCUACAAAUCCUUCUAUAAAGGUCUAAGCAUAGAUGCCAGUAUAAGCUUUCCUUGCUUCCCUAGCUGAAAAUGCUUUCUCCUUCCUCAAAUUUUCCUAGAGGAAUUGAUGUGCAUCAACUCUACAGCUAGAAAGCACAAAUGGAAAAAAAAAAGAAAAUCAUGCAUAUUAAAAUAAAGCCCGCCCUCUUCCCUUCUGGUCUGAUGGAUGAACUUGACACAAUUCUUCUGUAUUUGCCUGUCACCAACAUCAUUACGUCCUGAGCUGUAGCCUGCUAGCAGCCGGCUUCAAGCUCUCUGCACAUGCUGCCUCCAGCUACAAUCAGUGGAUUCCUCCGUGUGGGCAUUCCAAAAGGAAAUUGGAUAACUAGGUCUACAUGUCAGGCUUUUAUACAUCUUCCUGUAGAAUGCUGAACAAAACUUGAAAAUACCAGCCAGUCUGGGCGGUUCUACUCUGAUGCUCAGAUGACUCCAUAUCCCUCCCCCCUGCCCCUCCACCAUGUGGAAUAAUCAGGGACAUCUGCUGCAUUUAGACAGAAGAGAGAAGAAUUAGCAGCAGGGUACACUGAUUAGAGCCCUGGGUUCUAGUCCUGACUUUCACACUUAUUAACUGUGUAACCACACAUAAGCCUGAAUAACAACUACCACACACAUAAGCCAUUUCAGCUUCUUAAUCUAUAAAAUAGAACAAAAAAUGAUAUGUGCUUCACAGAAUUGUUGUUAUUAAAGUGCUUUGUAAAUAGUGUGUCAACCACAUAUAUAAUAUACCCAUAUAGAUGAAUAGGAGAUAUUAGUUAACCUAAAUCAAAUCUGAAAUUCCUGUUUUCCCUGAUCACUUCUCCUCUAUCUGAUCUGGCCCAUCCAAGAAAAUAAUCUGGUAUAGGAGAAAAUGUACUGGUUUUUUUUUUAUUUUAAUUUUUAAAUUUUUUUCUAUGAUUACAUGAUUCGUGUUCUCUCCCUCCCCCCAUCUCUCCCCACUCCUGGAGUUGAGAAGCAAUUCCACUGGGUGUUUAUAUAUAUAUAUAUAAAAUCACUCAAAUCCAUUUCCAUAUUAUUCAUUUUUGUAAAAGAGCAAUCCUUUAAAACCAAAACCCCAAAUCCUGUAUCCAUAUAAACAAGGGACAAAUCACAUUUUCUUCUGGAUUUCUGCUCUCACAGUUCUUUCUCUGGAUAUGGACAGCAUUCUAUCUCAUAAGUUCCUCAGAAUUGUCCUGGGUCAUUGCAUUGCUUUUAGUAGCGUUAAAGGGAUUUUUAAAAGUAGCAAAGUUGAUCACAUUUGAUUGUCCCUUAACCUUACAGUCUCUGGGUAUAAUGUAGGAGAAAAUAUACUGGAAAUGAGUUCAAGUUCUAACUGUGCCACUUAGUGCCUUUGUUCAGCCAUGUCCAACAUUUCAUGACCCCAUUUGGGGUUUUCUUGGCAGAGAUAUUGGAGUGGUUUUCCUUUUCCAGUCCAUUUUACAGAUAAGGAAACAGAGACAAACAGGGUUUAAGUGACUUGGCUAGGUUCACACAGCUUAUCUGUGUCUAAAGCUAGAUUUGAACUCAGGAAGAUAAGUCCUCCUGACUUCAGGCCCAGCACUCUAUCCACUUAGUCACCUAGAUAAUUGACCUUGGGUAACUGUGGGCUUUGAUUUCCUCAGCUGUAAAAUGGGGAUAAAAAUGACUACCAUUUCCAUAACACCUUAGGGUUACAAACCACUUUCCUCAAACAAUCCUGAGAGGUAGGUAAGUGCAAAAUUAUCCCUACUUUACAGCUGAGGAUAAUAUAAUACUUGGCAUGAAGAACCUCUCAUUAUUGUUGUGAAGAAAUCCCCAAGUGCCAAAGAAAUGGGAAUAGCUAUCAUUAUCAUUGUUAUAAUAAUCAGCAAAGGGGAGAAAUUGGUCAGGCAGAGGGUGGGCUCCUGAGUAGAUGGGAUAAGAGAAGGGAUGUUGGAAGGUAGGGUUAUGGGUGGGUGGACAAUAGACUAUGGACCAGGGUUCUAAGUAGCUAAGGCAGGGUGGACAAGCAGAUUUAUCUUGGAUAUGAUGGGCUUUCAAGUGGGAGGAGUGCCCAAAACAAAAUUUUCCCAUUACAGUUUUUUACCUUUCCCCAAAACAAAAUUUUCCCAUUACAGUUUUUUACCUUUCCCCUAAGUUGAGGCAUUGGCAUUAGGCAUAAGCUUGGAGCCCUAAAGUUGGACGUUUUGUUUUAAUUAGAAUGAGUGAGGCUGGUGGGAGUCCAAGGAAUAUAUGAUCAAAUAUAACCCAAACAAUGACUCACAGAAAAGGAAGA